AAAGCCAUAUCUUUGUAUGGCUUUUUGCUAGGUAACAAAAGUGUUUCAAAAGGGAAUGCCGUGAAAAUCGGCAACAGUACCCGCUGCUGUGAUUCUUAAUGAACCGAAGGCAAUGCAUAAGCAAACCACUAUUGUUUUUUUACAAUGGGAAGGUGGCUGUCGGGGAGAGAUCAGUCAGAAGACCUGCCGCAAAGAGCAAAGCCAAC
rnacentral:ncRNA from 20 species